rnacentral:rRNA from 1 species
CCGCCGGCGACCGGCGCACGGGUGAGUAACACGUAUGCAACCUGGCCGUGACAGAUGGAUAACCGGGAGAAAUCCCGCCUAAUACGACAUAAUGCCGGGAGGGGACAUCCCCUGCCGGCCAAAGGGGGCGACCCCGGUCACGGAUGGGCAUGCGGCGCAUUAGGUAGUUGGUGGGGCAACGGCCCACCAAGCCGACGAUGCGUAGGGGUUCUGAGAGGAAGGUCCCCCACAUUGGAACUGAGACACGGUCCAAACUCCUACGGAAGGCAGCAG